GGAGGAUGGCUGUAGCGAUGCUGUCAGCUCUGCCAUAAGCAGUGACUGUGAUUACGUUUGCACAUUUUGAAAAUGUUGUUUUUCUUUCUUUUGCAUUCUUUUCCACUUCAUUGUUGUAUAGUUUGUAUAAUGUUUGUUAAAGUUGCACACAUUAAUUCACUGUUCUUAUUUGUAAAAAAUUGUAUAGCGUGGUAUAGUUUGUAUGGUGGAGUCUUUAUUGUAUCGUACAAACAAGAACACCCCACCCCACCAUACCACUUUGACUAACCAAUUUUCUGCGGGAAACCCUGGAGGCUUUCUACAGGUAUUCUGUGAAACAUAGGGGUUUCUAUGGUAGUGGUUGCUAAGCUAUUGCUAGGGUAACUGAGAAGGUUGCUAUGGUGUUGCUACAGGAUAUAUAGUGGUUGCUAUGCAGGUUUAUAGGGUAAUCAUGUUGGUUGCUAGGUUGGUGAUAGAGUAACUGAGAAGGGUGUUGCUAGAGUAGAUAUGGUGGUGGCUAUACUAAAUUAAGUGGUUGCUAUGCUGGUUGCUAGGGUAAUUGAGAUGGUUGCGAGGCUAGUCAUGUUGGUUGACUAUCAAAGUGGUUGCUAGGUUGGCAUUGUACAGGUGGUUGCUAGGGUGUUGCUAGGGUAGAUAUGGUGGUUGCUAUUCCAAAUAAAGUGAUUGCUAUGCUGGUUGCAAGGUUAAUCAUGUUGGUUGCAAUGGUGGUUGCUCGGUUGACAUUGUGGUGGUAGUUGUGAGGUUGUUGGUAGGGUAAUUAAUAUGGUUGCUAGGUUGUUGCUAUGGUUCUUAUGUUGGUUGCUAGGUUGUUGCUAGGGUAACUUAGAAGAAUUUUGUUCAGCUAAUACAUUUUGGCCUACACUAUUAAGGGACAGCUGAAUUGACCAUCUAAACCAUAUAUUUUCUUAAAGCCUAUAGUCUGUAGAUGUCAAUUAAUAUGAAUUAAGACAUGUCCAACAUUCCUACUUACUUUGGUGCAUCAUAUAGGCUUAAGCAAUACUGCUAUUUUUGCUCUUAGACUAUAAAAAUCCAUAAUCACUUUAAAAACGCUAAUUUUUUAGUUUUUGAAAGUCAAUUUCUUUAAAUCAUGCUUGAAAUUGUAACCAUAUUCUUUAUUGAGUUAUGUUAAUUGACUAUAAUACUAUUGUAUUGUCAUCCUUCUUUGGGACUUGAGUACUUCAAUAUCCCCUUCAUGUAUCAAUGUACAUUAAAGCAUCUUUGAUAGUAAA